UACGAAGGGGGCUAGCGUUGCUCGGAAUUACUGGGCGUAAAGGGCGCGUAGGCGGAUAUCUAAGUUGGGGGUGAAAUCCCGGGGCUCAACCUCGGAAUUGCCUUCAAAACUGGAUAUCUUGAGUUCGGGGAGAGGUGAGUGGAACUCCGAGUGUAGAGGUGAAAUUCGUAGAUAUUCGGAAGAACACCAGUGGCGAAGGCGACUCCACUGGCCCGAUACUGACGCUGAGGCGCGAAAAGCGUGGGGGAGC
rnacentral:rRNA from 1 species